AUUGAACGCUGGCGGCAGGCCUAACACAUGCAAGUCGAACGGUAGCACAGAGAGCUUGCUCUCGGGUGACGAGUGGCGGACGGGUGAGUAAUGUCUGGGAAACUGCCUGAUGGAGGGGGAUAACUACUGGAAACGGUAGCUAAUACCGCAUAACGUCGCAAGACCAAAGAGGGGGACCUUCGGGCCUCUUGCCAUCAGAUGUGCCCAGAUGGGAUUAGCUAGUAGGUGGGGUAACGGCUCACCUAGGCGACGAUCCCUAGCUGGUCUGAGAGGAUGACCAGCCACACUGGAACUGAGACACGGUCCAGACUCCUACGGGAGGCAGCAGUGGGGAAUAUUGCACAAUGGGCGCAAGCCUGAUGCAGCCAUGCCGCGUGUAUGAAGAAGGCCUUCGGGUUGUAAAGUACUUUCAGCGGGGAGGAAGGCGAUAAGGUUAAUAACCUUGUCGAUUGACGUUACCCGCAGAAGAAGCACCGGCUAACUCCGUGCCAGCAGCCGCGGCAAUACGGAGGGUGCAAGCGUUAAUCGGAAUUACUGGGCGUAAAGCGCACGCAGGCGGUCUGUCAAGUCGGAUGUGAAAUCCCCGGGCUCAACCUGGGAACUGCAUUCGAAACUGGCAGGCUGGAGUCUUGUAGAGGGGGGUAGAAUUCUAGGUGUAGCGGUGAAAUGCGUAGAGAUCUGGAGGAAUACCGGUGGCGAAGGCGGCCCCCUGGACAAAGACUGACGCUCAGGUGCGAAAGCGUGGGGAGCAAACAGGAUUAGAUACCCUGGUAGUCCACGCUGUAAACGAUGUCGACUUGGAGGUUGUUCCCUUGAGGAGUGGCUUCCGGAGCUAACGCGUUAAGUCGACCGCCUGGGGAGUACGGCCGCAAGGUUAAAACUCAAAUGAAUUGACGGGGGCCCGCACAAGCGGUGGAGCAUGUGGUUUAAUUCGAUGCAACGCGAAGAACCUUACCUACUCUUGACAUCCAGAGAACUUAGCAGAGAUGCUUUGGUGCCUUCGGGAACUCUGAGACAGGUGCUGCAUGGCUGUCGUCAGCUCGUGUUGUGAAAUGUUGGGUUAAGUCCCGCAACGAGCGCAACCCUUAUCCUUUGUUGCCAGCGGUCCGGCCGGGAACUCAAAGGAGACUGCCAGUGAUAAACUGGAGGAAGGUGGGGAUGACGUCAAGUCAUCAUGGCCCUUACGAGUAGGGCUACACACGUGCUACAAUGGCAUAUACAAAGAGAAGCGACCUCGCGAGAGCAAGCGGACCUCAUAAAGUAUGUCGUAGUCCGGAUUGGAGUCUGCAACUCGACUCCAUGAAGUCGGAAUCGCUAGUAAUCGUGGAUCAGAAUGCCACGGUGAAUACGUUCCCGGGCCU
rnacentral:rRNA from 1 species